UACGGAGGGUGCAAGCGUUAUCCGGAUUCACUGGGUUUAAAGGGUGCGUAGGCGGGCAAGUAAGUCAGUGGUGAAAUCUCUGGGCUUAACUCAGAAACUGCCGUUGAUACUAUUUGUCUUGAAUAUCAUGGAGGUAAGCGGAAUAUGUCAUGUAGCGGUGAAAUGCUUAGAUAUGACAUAGAACACCGAUAGCGAAGGCAGCUUACUACAUGUUCAUUGACGCUGAGGCACGAAAGCGUGGGGAGCAAACAGG
rnacentral:rRNA from 1 species